rnacentral:rRNA from 1 species
UAUUUUAGUCUUGUUAGAGGAACCUGUUUUAUAAUCGAUAAACCACGUAUAUCUUACUUAUUUUAAAUAAUUUGUAUACCGUCAUUAUUAGAUAACUUUCAAAAAAUUAGUUAUUAAAAUUAAAUAAAAUUAAAUAUAUUAGAUCAAGGUGCAGUUAAUAAAUAAGAAAAAAUGGGUUACAAUAAAAUUUAUUUAAAACGAAUUAUAUAAAUGUAAAAAUAUAUGAAGGAGGAUUUAAUUGUAAUUUUUUUUAUAAAAUAAUAAUAUGAUAAUAGCUCUAAAAUAU